rnacentral:rRNA from 1 species
UGUGUCCUACGGGGGGCAGCAGUAGGGAAUCUUCCACAAUGGACGAAAGUCUGAUGGAGCAACGCCGCGUGAGUGAAGAAGGGUUUCGGCUCGUAAAGCUCUGUUGGUAGUGAAGAAAGAUAGAGGUAGUAACUGGCCUUUAUUUGACGGUAAUUACUUAGAAAGUCACGGCUAACUACGUGCCAGCAGCCGCGGUAAUACGUAGGGUGCAAGCGUUAUCCGGAUUUAUUGGGCGUAAAGGGCUCGUAGGCGGUUC